rfam:Ciona savignyi cont_60658, whole genome shotgun sequence.
GGCCCGUUGGUCUAGGGACAUGAUUCUCGCUUAGGGUGCGAGAGGUUCCGGGUUCAAAUCCCGGACGGGGCCA